CUUAAUAUACCUACCUACAAAUAUAAUAUAAACUAUGUUAUAUUACAUAACCGUCAAGGCGUCAACCAUAGCUCGUUCCUAUGUUGUUUUUGAGAAUCAUCUGGUUGAGUAUUCAGAACAAUAAAGAAACGUAUCCCCUACUAUUCAAAGAAAAGUGAAAAAAGAAGCAAUGAUUAAGCCUAAUGUUGCUGUUAGUAAUGGUAUUAGUCAGUGGCGGUUAAAUGAUUUUGUCAUGGGGGAGGAUGAGACUGAUUUUUUAAUAUGCACUACUAUUAAUCAUUAAAAUAUAAUUUAUGGUUAUGCCUAAUAUCAAUUUUUUUAAAUUCAGCACUUCAUUGGAGGUUAUAUUUAUAAUUCCACGAUGAACAGCCAUAGUGGCCAAACCAUUGAUACGACUCUAGAAUAAUAAAAUUACACAAUUAAAAUAUAUAUAUAUACAUAUAUUAACAUAAUGUACUAAUAUACAAAGCAUUAUAUUGACAUUUCAAAGAUUCUUAUAAGUUAUAAUUUUACUAUAAAAUAAAUUAACAAAACCUACAAAGUUAGUGUAUAAUAUAUUUAUAUUUGAACUGUUAAUUUAAUACUUAUUCCAAUAUUAUAGGUUAAUAUAUUAUAUUAUUUUAUAAUAAGUACAGCAAACUUACCUCCCCCAUAGUAUUUUAACUUACCUCUCCCAUAGUAUUUCUCAAAUAUGUUUUCAACCGUUUUAUUAAUACAUUUCGGCCGAUGGCCCGGUCAAGGGUGUGUUGUUAUUGAAUAUUCACGAUCACCGAGCUGGGUAAUUCCCGUAAAUUUUGUAUAUUAAGCAACUAAUUACUAAAUAUUAAUAAUAAUAACAGCCUUCUUACUAGAACGAGUCUAGAAUCAAGAUAAUAAUAAUAUACGCUCAUAAGCGUUAUUUUCAGAAAAAUUAAAACAAAAUGUAAUACAUUAGCAUUAUAGUACAAUAAACAUAUAUGUAAUUGUUAUAAAUAUUAAGGAAAAAAAGCCAAGGGGGGAUCUAUCCCCCUCACCCCCCCCCCCGUUUGACCGCCACUGGUAUUAGUUCACUGUUGUGAUGGCAAACAGAUUUGUUACAAUUCUGGCAUGCCGCAUCAUAAGUUAUUUAUCAAAAAAUAUUAAUCGAUAUUCAAUGGUUUUAAUGUCAUAAUAAAUUAAUAUAACAGUAGUAUUUAAUUUUUUAAUUUUUAUGAUAGACAGAGUUAGAUGCUUGUAUCACAACAUUACGUAAUAAUAUUGUGGGCAGUGGAAGAUCAUUUAUAGAAUUAGAUAGCCAGAAUCUAUAAUAAUAUAAAAAUUAUAAACUAUAAUACCCAUUACCCAAACACAUAAUAUUAUGUGAUUGUAUUUAGUAUGUACCUAAGUAUGCAUACGGAGUGUUCCAAUGUUCUACAAGUAUUUUUCCCUACAAAUUUAUAAUUUUUAAUUAAAUUUUUUCAGCAUUGAUCAAUUAUGCACAUAU